CCUGUUCUGCAAGAGCUCAUGUCCACAUGAGGUUCAACAAGUGCAAAAGUACUGCUGGCAGUGUAAUUCAGCUCCAAGAAAAAUGCUGAAGAGCAGUGUAAGGAGAUUUUCUUCUGUUUGUUUCCUUAAGCCAACAUUUCUGUGUUUUGAGGGAUUGUAACAAAAGCAGCUACCAACAGGACUGCUUGGCUCUGCAGCUGCUGGCAGAGGGCCUCCCAGAGGAGAAGCCCAAAGACCACAGUCAUGGCAAAGUCCUCAGCAGCUGUCAUAAUCCAAAAGAAAUGGUAACAUACAUCAUCCAUGAGCAAGGUCUGAGAUCAACAAAGGACUGUCCACAGUUCCCUAGUAUCUUGGAUAGCAUCCCACUGGAUUAACCAUGUAAGGUGACUUUCUGUUCCUGAUCCUAGAACUACUUUUUCUGCAUCAUUUCAUGGAUGUUGCAAUCCUCCAAAAAGGUAUUGGUGCCAUCAGCAGGGGUAGCAGGACUUGAGUUCACCCUGUCCUUUCUGACGGAGACACAAAUCUACACCUCCCACUUCCAGAAGCAUACACCAGUUCCCAAUUGUAGAGUUUGCUGGAUUGGAUCCUUCACAGGCUCUUCUGCUAAACACAAUUUUGCAUAAAGUUCAUAAAAUCUGAAAGCCUUAA